rnacentral:tRNA from 1 species
GCCCAGGUAGCUCAGUCGGUAGAGCAGCGGACUGAAAAUCCGCGUGUCGCUGGUUCGAUUCCGGCCCUGGGCA